UUAGGGCUGGGCAAUAUAUCAAUAUUAUGUUGACAUAGAUAUACGAGACUAGAUAUCUUCUUAAAUUUUGGAUAUUGUAAUACCGUAA